GGAUGGGUUGUGGGAAGAUAAAGAUGAUUGCCCAGCUGGUUUAAAUCUGGCCCAUUAGCAGAGGAUAUGUGCCAGGAGAUCAGGGUCACUGCCCCACCUGGUUUUAGCAGGUGGUGAUAGAACACACAUUUCUGGCCACACCGACCCAACACAAUCAGCCACACCCUCAUCAGCCACACCCUCACCAACCACACCCUCUCCACCCAUACCUCCAGCCAGAGCUGGCCAAGCACUGCCCUUUGCUCAACAGGCAGGAACAGGCCUGGAGAUGUCCAAUUCUCCUCCUUUCCAUCCUCCUCCCCAUGGCUUCUGAUGGACAUUCCAGCCCAGGACAUCCUGCAGGGAAACUGUUUGCUGAAUCUGACCCAAAUUCACAGAGAGCUUUGCCUCCUCCACUCCAAAGCUUCAUUUCUGG
rnacentral:lncRNA from 12 species